rnacentral:siRNA from 1 species
UAAAGGUAAGUGCCAACCUAUGCA